UGUUCUGAGGCAGGUCAUGAUUACAUUCCUCAAUACAGACCUGUUCUGAGGCAGGUCAUGAUUACAUUCCUCAAUACAGACCUGUUCUCAGGCAGGUCAUGAUUACAUUCCUCAAUACAGACCUGUUCUCAGGUAGGUCAUGAUUACAUUCCUCAAUACAGACCUGUUCUCAGGCAGGUCAUGAUUACAUUCCUCAAUACAGACCUGUUCUCAGGUAGGUCAUGAUUACAUUCCCCAAUACAGACCUGUUCUGAGGCAGGUCAUGAUUACAUUCCUCAAUACAGACCUGUUCUGAGGCAGGUCAUGAUUACAUUCCUCAAUACAGACCUGUUCUCAGGCAGGUCAUGAUUACAUUCCUCAAUACAGACCUGUUCUCAGGCAGGUCAUGAUUACAUUCCUCAAUACAGACCUGUUCUGAGGCAGGUCAUGAUUACAUUCCUCAAUACAGACCUGUUCUCAGGUAGGUCAUGAUUACAUUCCUCAAUACAGACCUGUUCUCAGGCAGGUCAUGAUUACAUUCCUCAAUACAGACCUGUUCUCAGGCAGGUCAUGAUUACAUUCCUCAAUACAGACCUGUUCUCAGGCAGGUCAUGAUUACAUUCCUCAAUACAGACCUGUUCUUAGGCAGAUCAUGAUUAAGUUCGAUGCAUCAUUCAUGUAACCUUCUACUAUUGAGUCCAAUAAACCUGAGAUCUUUCCAUGGUAAUUGUAGUUUAACACACGCUAGUCUGACAUGAUUGUAUUGUUUUCUGCCAAGGAGACGUACUGUAACCAUUGUUUGUUUUAAUCUUCAAAAUAAAAGCACAGGAGAAGCUUU